rnacentral:rRNA from 1 species
AUACGUAGGGGGCGAGCGUUGUCCGGAAUGAUUGGGCGUAAAGGGCGCGUAGGCGGCCCGGUAAGUCUGGAGUGAAAGUCCUGUUUUUAAGAUGGGAAUUGCUUUGGAUACUGUCGGGCUUGAGUGCAGGAGAGGUAAGUGGAAUUCCCAGUGUAGCGGUGAAAUGCGUAGAGAUUGGGAGGAACACCAGUGGCGAAGGCGACUUACUGGACUGUAACUGACGCUGAGGCGCGAAAGUGGGGGGAGCAAACAGGAUUAGAUACCCUGGUAGUCCACACUGUAAACGAUGAAUGCUAGGUGUAGGGGGUAUCGACCCCUUCUGUGCCGCAGUCAACACAAUAAGCAUUCCGCCUGGGAGUACGGCCGCAAGGUUGAAACUCAAAUGAAUUGACGGGG